AAAAUAAAAGAAAAAAUGCAAAUUUUUAGAAGUUUCAGGACUAAUGUGUAAAAAAGGAGAAUUUUUAGCAUUGACUAGCAUAAUCUAGAGUAGUUUUAUUAAGGCGAGAGGCGAGAGAGUACCCUAUGGCCUUAGGGCAAAGGCGAGAGGUGAGGAUGGAGGACCUUUUGAAGAGAGGUGCCAUUAGCCUAAAUUGCCUCACACACACACACACACACA
rnacentral:misc_RNA from 1 species